UAAAGAUGCCAUUUGCGGCGGGGCACGGUGGCUCACCCAAAUUCAAGUUCUUUACCCCCAAAUACACCAUGUUAGCAUAGCCACUGCUUUAAAAAAAUGCUACUAGUGUAUGAUUCUAAUGCAAUUUUCAGAACUGAAAUACUGGGGGCCAAAAAUAUAUGAUAAUAGCAGACAAUCUGCAGCUCACACACGAGGCUAAAUCAAGCGGCCAGGUCCUCCUCCGAUCUCUGCUGAUGCUGCUUUCAGAGGCCUUCGGAGACCACCCCACACCCUCCACGGCUACUCCCCAGCCCCACUCCCAUUACCCACUUCACAUAUUACCUAUGCAUUUAUCUAUUCAUUUGAACAUCCUUCCCAGUGGAAUCUGUUUACACUUAUAUUUGCAGUGUGUAAAUAUCUGGGUUAUAAUGCGAGAAGCAGCAGCCAAAGGCUUAUUUGUAAUAGUGUAGACAGGAAGCAGCCCACCUAUUCUCAAAUCCCACACUGAAGUUCAAAGGAACUUAUUUUGACUUACUGAGGAGUCCCUGCUGGCUAACUAAAUAAAACCAAAACUCACAGAAGCACCAGGGGACUCCGACAGGCCAAGGUUUUCAAACCAGGCUUACAGGAACAUCAAACAUUUAUACACGCAGCACUUUACAAAAGCACCUUCACACAGGAACUCAUUUGCCUGCAAAACAACCCUGUGAGAAACAGGGCAGGUUUUACUAAUUCCCAUUUUACUGACGAAGACAUCGAGGCUCAGAGAUGCUUGACUGUGUCUCGGGAGCUUCAAGACAACCCCCCUCUGCUGUCUUCAGUGGGCGGCAUCCAAGCUGUGCCAGACACUCGGCACCCACCUGCUCUUAGGGCUGCAGGCAGGAGCAGGAGGAGCACCCAAGAGGCACCUGCUGCUGCCAAGAGCAAAACCCAAACCCAGGGACACAGGCAGAUUCCAGAGAAACUAAUAAACUAGUUAAAAGACAAAUAUUUUAAUCUAGUUUCCCCACUUUAAA
rnacentral:lncRNA from 1 species